GAGUCCAUUUUGGUUCUUUUAGAUGUGCAUCCAUCAAGGGAGAUGAACUCAUCGCACAAAGAAGCCAACCAUUCAAAAAAUUCCGGAUACCAGAGAGAUGAAGAGGGAUAUUAUGACAUCUCAACCAAACGAACCUUUUAGUAGGCGUAAAUUUGGCUUCGCAUGAGACCAAUGAAGAGAACCAUUGUGAUAGCCAUCUAUUUUCCUUGUGGAUAAAAGAUUGCAUUACCUAGGUAUUCAUGCUAAAAGUAAGAAGAACCACACCACCACCAAGGGAAGUAGAGGAGAUGGAGAGGACACCUUGAGUUUGGAAAAUAUUUUGAAUAGAGAAAGCCAGGCUUGGGUGAUGAAAAAUUCCUAUGACACUUCUUUUGAGCCAUUCUUGGCUAAUAUUAGAGUAUUUGAAUUCUCCUCCAAAAACAGACGUCUUAUUGGGAGGACCAGUGCAGAUAUCCAAGCUACCAAUGUCAACUUGUUGUUUGCCCCCUUGAAUUGCUAUAUCAUCCCCUCUAUUUCCUUCCAUUAUCAACUUGUUGUUUACUCACAUUCCUUUCAUUAACAUGGCGUCCACCCUGUACCUUUUUGUCAGAACCGGUGUUGCGCUUAUGAGAAGAACUAUUCCUAGCUUUUGAUUCCUUGUCAUUUGUAAACAUAGUGAGACACUCUGAUCUUGUUCAAUCCAUGUACUAUUCAAAUACUGCAGAAAAGCCUUAGUACGAGAAGAGUCUCGUAAUCUGAUAAAUCCAAACAUUCUGCCAAAAUGUUUUGUGCGCUUUCGUGA
rnacentral:misc_RNA from 1 species